AAGCCUAUAAAAAUGUGUUGACUUUUUUCUUUUAUUUCAAAAGAAAAGAUAUUUCUCAUGUGCUCAAUAAAAUCUUGGGAGGUAGAUUAAUAUCAUGACUAAUUUAACUUUUGCUGUCAGUCACCUUCAUACAGGC
rnacentral:snoRNA from 1 species